UUGUAUAUUCUGCCUUAUUAAUAUAUUUUGCCAUCUUGAACACACUCAGCAACAUGUGUCCUCCAUUUCAUCUGUGAAAUUUUGAGCCAAUACAUUUACACUGGACCACCCACUCCUGCCCCAUUUUUCAUCGGCAAAGUGAAUGAAGAGCAGUGUAGUUAUGAUGGAAAUGGUGGCAGUGAAAGCAGUUGUGACAAAAGCAGGAACUAGAAGAUGGUGGUCAUGGAAAGAAAAAGGAGGAGGUGAUGGGAGGAGAACAUGGAUGGUUCUGUGCUAUCUAGUUCACAAAUGCCUCAUUUGGGGAAGAGGGUACUGAAAGGAUUAAUGAACAUUGCUAUCCAACCACAUCAUGCAAGAUGUAGAGUAAUUGUCCACCCCAAACUCUUCAAUCAACAAGUGCUAGAAGCAGGCAUUCCUUUCUAUCAGGUAAGGAUGGUAAUUCUUGAUUUUCUUCAUAUGUUGGGUGUUGUGAACAAUCCAUUUGUUUUUUUUCCCCUGAGCAUUCAGGGAUGAGGAAUGAGGAAUGCCUUUACUGGGAGGUAACAGGCCACUGCGGACUAUUUGCUGGUACACUUAGCUCCUUCAUCCUAGCAGAUGCUCUACAAACCAAAAUAGGUUGCUCUCCUUACUACAGGCUAUCUGAGAACUGUACAAGGAGUGUGGUUGGAACUAGCUUUAAAACACCUAGGGGGAUUCACUAUCUCUGAGGUACCUUUCCCUCUAGGUUGGCUGUCUGCUUUGGUCUUCUGGAGUUUCUCCUUACAGAUUUGGUAGUAUUUUGUCAUGUAAAAUAUGAUGAUGUAUCCUAGUCUAAUUUUUUUGUCAUGGUUUCUCUUUAGCUCUACUGACUUCCUUAGAAACAGUAC
rnacentral:lncRNA from 11 species